rnacentral:lncRNA from 1 species
ACCAAUGUUGACCAGAGCCAGAGGACAGGGGUGAGCCUGACCGAUGUUGCCCACAGCCAGAGGAUUGGCCUGACCCUGACCUAUGGUGUCCACAGCCAGAGGACUGGCCUGAGGCUGACCCAUGUUUUCCAGAGCCAGAGGAUUGACCUGAGCCUGACCCAUGUUGGCCAGAGCCAGAGGACUGGUGUGAGCCUGACCCAUGGUGUCCAAAGCCAGAGGACUGGCCUGAGCCUGACUCAUGUUGUCCAGAGCCAGAGGACUGUCCUGAGCCUGACCUGUGUUGGCCAUAGCCAGACUGCCCUGAUCUGGACUCAUGGUGCUCAAAACCAGAGGACUGGCCUGAGCCUGACCCAUGUUGUCCUGAGCCAGACUGCCCUGAUCUGGACUCAUGGUGCUCAAAACUAGAGGACUGAUGCGGACUAGACCCACGUUGUCCAGAGCCAGAAGACUGACCUGAGCCUGAGCCAUGUUUUCCAGAGCCAGAGGACUUAUGUGAACUAGACCCAUGUUGUCCAGAGCCAGAGGACUGGCCUGAGGCUGACCCAUGUUGGCCACAGCCAGAGGACUGGCCUGAGCCUGACCCGUGUUGGCCACAGCCAGACUGCCUUGAUCUGGACUCAUGGUGCUCAAAACUAGAGGACUGAUGUGAACUAGACCCAUGAUGACCAGAGCCAGAGGACUGGCCUGAGCCUGAUCCAUGUUGUCCAGAGCCAGAGGACUGGCCUGAGGCUGACCCAUGUUGGCCACAGCCAGAGGACUGGCCUGAGCCUGACCCGUGUUGGCCACAGCCAGACUGCCUUGAUCUGGACUCAUGGUGCUCAAAACUAGAGGACUGAUGUGAACUAGACCCAUGAUGCCCAGAGCCAGAGGACUGGCCUGAGCCUGAUCCAUGUUGUCCAGAGCCAGAGGACUGGCCUGAGGCUGAGCCAUGUUUUCCAGAGCCAGAGGACUGGCCUGAGGCUGACCCAUGUGGGCCAAAGCCAGAGGAUUGACCUGAGCCUGACCUGUGUUGGCCAAAGCCAGAGGACUGGCCUGAGCCUGACCCGUGUUGGCCACAGCCAGAGGACUGGCCUGAGCCUGACCUGUGUUGGCCACGGCCAGACUGCCCUGAUCUGGACUCAUGGUGCUCAAAACUAGAAGACUGAUGCGGACCAGACCCAUGUUGUCCAGAGCCUGAAGACUGACCUGAGGCUGACCCAUGGGGUCCAAAGCCAGAGGACUGGCCUGAGCCUGACCCGAGUUGGCCAUAGCCAGACUGCCCUGAUCUAGACUCAUGGUAUUCAAAACUAGAGGCCUGAUGCGAACUAGACCCAUGUUUUCCAGAGCCAGAGGACUGGCCUGAGCCUGACCCAUGUUGUCCAGAGCCAGAGGACUGACCUGAGCCUGAGCCAUGUUUUCCAGAGCC